GCUCAUAAUAUUUAACUUUUACAUAAAACAAUAUUUCAAACACUUUUGACGCAUAUAUUUCAAAGUCCUGCAUAUGUCUAUAUAUUGCAUUAAUAUUUUUCUUAUAACCAGAAUCACAGAGUAUUGUUUGUAUAAUUUAAUCCCACUACUCCACUAGCAUUUCGGAUUUAAAGAUUAGCAAAAUAUACAAGUAAAAAGGACACAAUUUACGCAUUUACACCUCUAUAUAUAGUUUUGUGUUUUAAAUAUAAAAUUACGAAUGUCCUGUUCUCGUCCACAAAAGAUGUACAUCUUAUAUUUGCGUAAUGAAAAUGCAUCGAAAUGUAACUUUAGGUCCCUGACAGCAUGGAUAUAUAAUAAAAUAAAUGGAUUGGAAACUUCUGACGUCAUUGACUGCAUCCUUGUUGAAAAACGUGACGUCACGCGUAUUGCGAAUGUUACCAAAGUUCUCGGCAUUUUUGUUGUUUUGCUAUAUUUUCCACUUUAAAAGGGUGAUCUUGAAGCGUAAACUGGUCUAAUUGUUUUAAAAACAUGCCUAAGCCACGACAAAGUAUUCAAGGCAAAUGUUUUUCGUCUUUGUUUUGUAUUUUUUUACAUUUGUAGCUACGAAAUUGGCGUCACAAAUUUUAACGAAAUUUGCGAUGUAUUUUUCACUGUUUAGUGUUUGAAAUAUUUGCUAAAAUUGACUGGGAAUACUUAGAGUUUUCAUCGUAGAAUGGCGUGGUUACAUUUAUUUGCUCUUUGACUAAAAUGUUUAGCUGUAUUAUUGCUAAACAUGCCGUUUUUGAGAAUUUUAUUUUCAACUAGGUUGAGGCAUCCAACCACGCCAUCAAUCCCAGUAAAAACAUUAGGUCACGUCAGCUAGUUUCCUAUCCAUUUAUUUUAUUAUCCAUG